rnacentral:rRNA from 1 species
AACGAACGCUGGCGGCAUGCCUUACACAUGCAAGUCGAACGGCAGCGCGGGGCAACCUGGCGGCGAGUGGCGAACGGGUGAGUAAUAUAUCGGAACAUACCCUAGAGUGGGGGAUAACGUAGCGAAAGUUACGCUAAUACCGCAUACGCACUAAGGUGGAAAGUGGGGGAUCUUCGGACCUCAUGCUCAUGGAGUGGCCGAUAUCUGAUUAGCUAGUUGGUGAGGUAAAGGCUCACCAAGGCGACGAUCAGUAGCUGGUUUGAGAGAACGACCAGCCACACUGGAACUGAGACACGGUCCAGACUCCUACGGGAGGCAGCAGUGGGGAAUUUUGGACAAUGGGGGGCAACCCUGAUCCAGCAAUGCCGCGUGAGUGAAGAAGG